ACACAUGCAAGUCGAACGGCAGCAUGAUCUAGCUUGCUAGAUUGAUGGCGAGUGGCGAACGGGUGAGUAAUACAUCGGAACGUGCCCUGUAGUGGGGGAUAACUAGUCGAAAGAUUAGCUAAUACCGCAUACGACCUGAGGGUGAAAGUGGGGGACCGCAAGGCCUCAUGCUAUAGGAGCGGCCGAUGUCUGAUUAGCUAGUUGGUGGGGUAAAGGCCCACCAAGGCGACGAUCAGUAGCUGGUCUGAGAGGACGAUCAGCCACACUGGGACUGAGACACGGCCCAGACUCCUACGGGAGGCAGCAGUGGGGAAUUUUGGACAAUGGGGGCAACCCUGAUCCAGCAAUGCCGCGUGUGUGAAGAAGGCCUUCGGGUUGUAAAGCACUUUUGUCCGGAAAGAAAUCGCACUUACUAAUAUUAGGUGUGGAUGACGGUACCGGAAGAAUAAGGACCGGCUAACUACGUGCCAGCAGCCGCGGUAAUACGUAGGGUCCAAGCGUUAAUCGGAAUUACUGGGCGUAAAGCGUGCGCAGGCGGUUGUGCAAGACCGAUGUGAAAUC
rnacentral:rRNA from 1 species